rnacentral:rRNA from 1 species
GAAGAACCUUACCAGGUCUUGACAUCCCUCUGACAGGUCCGUAACGGGAUCUUUCCUUCGGGACAGAGGAGACAGGUGGUGCAUGGUUGUCGUCAGCUCGUGUCGUGAGAUGUUGGGUUAAGUCCCGCAACGAGCGCAACCCCUAUCUUUAGUAGCCAGCAGUUCGGCUGGGCACUCUAGAGAGACUGCCAGGGAUAACCUGGAGGAAGGCGGGGAUGACGUCAAAUCAUCAUGCCCCUUAUGAUCUGGGCUACACACGUGCUACAAUGGUGACUACAAAGAGAAGCAAAACUGUGAAGUGGAGCGAACCUCAAAAAGGUCAUCUCAGUUCGGAUUGUAGUCUGCAACUCGACUACAUGAAGCUGGAAUCGCUAGUAAUCGCAAAUCAGAAUGUUGUGGUGAAUACGUUCCC